UUUGGGUGUCUGGUGGCGAGGGAGAACAUCAAGGCAGAGUACGAUUGGUAGCGUCUGGCCAAGCUGUUUCUUUUGCCUUUUUGGCAGGGUGUAUUUCUUUGGGUUCAAGGCUUGUAAUCACACAGGAAAGAGGGAAACUCUGGAGAAUGAUUGUUCUAAGAGCACCUCGAUGGUGCACAUCAAGGUUGAUAAGGGGCAUCGAUGGUAGAGAUUUUGGAGGGCAAGAAAGUCUCAUCUUGGAACAAAAUACACCUGUUGUAUGACUUCUUUGUCAGGAAGACUGCUGCUUAUAAAAUGACUUUCAUCUACUGCUGCUCAUAUUCAGAUCUCUCUGGGGUGUGUUCUAUGUUCCAAGUGUAAUCAACCGCUGAAAGGCUCUUGGAUGAUAAAGGUAACAAGGAUUUAAAGGUUGAAGUUUUAGAACGACAGUAGUACUAUUAUCUUCAGUUAACACUAGAAAGUCAUUUUUUCAAUUCAUUUCAUCUGGUGAUCCUCUGGGUCCUCUUUGAGAAUGUAAUAUCAUCUGGGUUCCUUUCAAAAUAUCUCCUUUCCUUUUUCUUCACAUUCUUGUAUUGAAACACCCCAAUCUUUGAC